rnacentral:rRNA from 1 species
AUGGAAGGCGACGACCCCAUGGACUUCACCUGGACCGCCGGCUGGGAGGCGGCCUGCGUCGACGCCAGCCCCGACCCCGACCCCGACCCCGCGCCGCAGGAGGCGGAGGCGGAGGCGGAGUCCAUGAUCCUCGUCUCCGGCCCGCGCGUCGCCGUCUCCGGGCUCAGGCGGGCCGACUGCCGCGCAGGUGAAUGCGUCCUGUUCGUCAACGCCGGCGGCUGCGCCAUCCAAGGCGACCAUCCCUCUGCAAACUUGUUUUCCAGCGACUCUUUCUUUCAAGGAGGGGAGUCGAUAGAGACAUCCGAGAACAUAGUCCAAGGCGGCGACUAUCCCUCGCUCUACAGCUCGGCACGCUACGGCGAUUUCACCUACAGAUUCGACGGCCUUGCCCCUGGAGACUAUUACCUUGAUCUGCAUUUCGCGGAGAUAGUGCACACUGCCGGGCCAACAGGAAUCAGAUCUUUUGAUGUCCUCGUGCAACAAGACAAGAUUUUGUCUCAACUUGAUGUGUUCAAGGUGGUCGGAGGUAACAGGCCCCUUCAGGUGCUUGACAUCAGGGCUUUUGUUGGGAGCAAUGGUGCCAUCACCAUCGACUUCAAGGGAGUAAGAGGAAACCCCAUGGUUUGUGGCAUCUGCAUUCGGAAAUCCCCAGCAACACCAGCAGCAAAGUUAGGUACACGUGGGAGUGGCUUAUGCAAAAAAUGCUUAACUGAUGUUGAGAUUUCUUCACCUAUUCAGAAAAGGACAGCUAAACUGAUCUCAAAGUACGAGAAACAGAUUGAGGAGCUAACCAGCCAGUGCAACAUCAAGUCCGACGAGUGCUCCAUGGCGUGGUCUUUAGUAGAAUCUACCAAUCAAGAACUUGACAGGCUUAAGAUGGAGCUUCACCAAAAGCUUGUGCAAACUGAUAAUUUUGAACAAGUCCUUGACACUCAAACAGACCAACUAAGAAAAGUUUCUCAGAACUACGAAAAUGACAAGAAACUAUGGGCUGCUGCCAUAUCUAACUUGGAGAGAAAAAUCAAGGCCAUGAAACAAGAGCAAGCACUGUUAUCUCUUGAAGCACACGACUGUGCGCACGCGAUUCCUGAUUUGAGUAAGAUGAUUGAAGCUGUUCGAGCCUUAGUUGCACAGUGUGACGAUCUGAAAAUGAAGUACCAUGAGGAGAUGGCCAAGAGAAAGAAACUUCAUAAUAUUGUCCAGGAGACAAAAGGAAAUAUUCGAGUUUUCUGCAGAUGCCGCCCCUUGAGCAAAGUUGAGACAUCGUCAGGGUACAAAUGUGUUGUAGAUUUUGAUGGAGCAAAUGAUGGUGACAUCGGGAUUAUAAAUGGAGGAACAGCAAAAAAGACAUUCAAGUUUGACAGAGUCUACACCCCAAAGGAUGACCAAGCUGAGGUUUAUGCCGAUGCAUCUCCACUAGUCACGUCAGUGCUAGAUGGAUACAAUGUAUGCAUCUUUGCAUACGGACAAACAGGAACUGGGAAGACCUUCACCAUGGAAGGGACUGAAAGGAACAGAGGAGUAAACUAUAGAACUCUGGAGGAGUUGUUCAAGAUUGCUGAGGAGAGAAAAGACACUGUCACGUACAACAUAUCUGUUAGUGUGCUUGAGGUGUACAAUGAACAAAUCAGAGACCUCCUUGCAACAUCCCCUUCAUCUAAGAAGUUGGAGAUCAAACAAGCAGGUGAAGGAUCCCAUCAUGUGCCCGGCAUAGUUGAGGCCAAAGUUGAGGACAUAAAUGAAGUUUGGGAUGUCUUGCAAACUGGAAGCAAUUCGAGGGCUGUAGGGUCAAACAAUGUGAAUGAACACAGCAGUCGCUCACACUGCAUGCUUUGUAUCAUGGUUAGAGCAAAGAACCUGAUAAAUGGGGACUGUACAAGAAGUAAGCUUUGGUUAGUUGAUCUUGCUGGAAGCGAGCGGUUAGCCAAGACAGACGCGCAAGGUGAUCGGCUCAAGGAAGCACAAAAUAUCAACAGGUCGCUUUCUGCUUUAGGCGAUGUCAUUUCUGCUCUUGCUUCCAGAAGCAGCCACAUUCCUUACAGGAAUUCCAAGCUGACGCACUUGCUCCAAGACUCUUUAGGAGGGGAUUCGAAAGCCCUAAUGUUUGUGCAAAUUAGCCCAUCCGACAACGACGCGUCGGAAACCUUGAGUUCGUUGAACUUUGCUAGCCGUGUUCGUGGUAUAGAACUGGGCCCAGCAAAGAAGCAGGUGGACACAGCCGAGCUUCAAAAGGUCAAACAGAUGCUUGAAAGGUCUAAGCAGGAAGCCAAGCUUAAGGAGGAAUCUUUGAGAAAGCUGGAAGAGAACUGUCAAAAUUUAGAGAGUAAAGCCAAGGGAAAAGAGCAGCUUUACAAAAACUUGCAAGACAAGACUUUCUGUAAUAACUUGAAGGUGAAGGAGCUUGAAAGCCAACUAGACUCUAAGACGCAUUCUCAAAUUACGUCGGAAAAGCAGCAGAGUCAGCUUUCUGGAAAACUUAAGGAGAAGGAAGAAGCAUGUACUGCGCUACAGCACAAGAUAGUGGAGUUGGAGCGUAAGCUUGGACAGCAGCACCAGUCAGACUCUGUGGUCGCAGCUCUUAAGCAAACGAUUGAGGAGGUGGAGCUGAAACUAAAGGAGCAGGAACAGCAAAGAUCAGCUGCAGAAUCAAAGGCAAUGGAAAUGGGGCAAGAACUCUUGGAAGCACAGAAAACAGAGUCAAUGCUUCAGAGCAAGCUGCUCGACCUCGAGAAGAAGCUGCAGGAGAUGACAAAACUCCAAGGCGCAAGCAUGAUGCCUGACCCAAAACCUCAAGACACUAGUAGCACGAUGCCUGAUACAAAACCUCAAGGCACUAGUAGCACGACGAUGCCUGAACCCUCAAACAAUAAUCCAAUAACAAGGGUUCUUCCUGCCACCCCUGUGGAGACAAACGUGGUGCCGGCUUGUUGUGCGAGGGAGGAGGCGAUGAGCGAGAAGGCGCAGCAGCACCGCCGCAUCCUGAGGAGCUCCGACUCGGCCAACAAGCGGGUCCCCAGCUCCCUGUUCGCCCCGGAGGCGGCCGUCGUGAACGAGAGGAAGAGGAAAGGGGAGGAGAGCCACCCUCCUGCGGGUGCCGGUGGCAGGCAGAACGCCAACGCCGGGCGGAAGAGGAGCAGCAUGCAGGGUGAGGUCGAGAACCAGCUCCCUGCCGCGGCCGUGGCGAGGAAGAGGAGCCUGCAGGGCGGCGAGGUGAGGUCGAAGAGGGCGUCGAUCCCGGCGAGGCCUUCGACGUCGGCGUCUUCGAGGGCGCAGAAGGUGGUGGUGGCUCCCGGUUCCAGGGUGACCAGGCAGCAGCAGCAGCAGGCGGCGGUGGCGAGCAGCAACAAGACCAAGGGGUGGGUGAGGUGA